UGGAAACAGCAGAGAGACAGCGGUGGCGGUGCAGUCCCGGAUCCUGCAGGCAAGUGAGGGUGGCUUGAGGGAUCUCGAAGCCAAGAAUCGGGUCCUCUCUGUCCACUCUGAGGCAAGCCCUUCUUGGCCGACCCUGCUAUCCCCGGCUGACCGCGUGGCCCUGUCUCCCUGUGUGGGCCGGUGUUGGAUGUAGCCCUGGGUCCUCAUCCCUGGCCCUCAGCGUCUGACCCGGUACAGAGAUACAGAACACCAGCCCAUGAAACAAAAUGUGACUGUUUGGCCAGACUACCUAUGAUUCCCCAAAUUCUGUGAGAUCAAGAAAAUUAUGUGGUCCAUCCCAGUUCAUUAUAAGAUGGGAAUCAUUUACCUUGGAUCAGGGACAAGUGGGCCAGAAGACACAAGCACAAGCCAGUGUUCCAGGUCGCCACAUCGACUAUCACUCCUAAUACCUCCACUUCUCCCUCAAGUCACAUCUGUUGUCUGAUAAUAGUUACUUAUGACCGGCUAAAGGAGAAAGAAAUAAGUCUAGACUGAUUGAAUAAAAUAGACUGCCUCUACACUACAGUAGCACUCAGGAGUGUCCUUGGCAGAUAAAAGUGAAGGGAAACGCACCUGAGAUUUGGAACUUCCAGCAAAAGCAAAUGUGCCCAAUAGUUACAGCUUCAGGAGGUGUACCCGAUCGUCCUUUGGUGUUUAAAAAGAAGUGACCUGCGGUAAGAAUAUAUGUAGACUCCCAGAAAUUUAUGAAAGACUAAUUGUUCAGGAGGUUGGGCAGAGAAGUAAUGAAACGCUGGACGAAAGCGUUCUGUAGAAGAGACAUACAUCUGACCCAAAGCAGAGGACACCCGCGUGAAGGUGUUUGUGUUUACAGUUAAUAUCCACCAGAGAGCUUCAAGCAUGGAAGGAGCUUGAAACAACCAGUUAGGCAGAAUGGUGUGGCCAGAAGUCAUCCUCUGUCAUCGGUCACCCUCAGUGUUGGAACGAGUGUGAAACGUAUGCAGUAGACAUGAGGGUAGAAAUGGAAGUUGUGCAUGAAUCCAACUGUGUGGGUCCCCACACACCAGGGCUACUGUCAUCGUUGCUGCUGAAUGUGCAGCCUUCCAGAAACAGAGCUGAUGUGGACACCAACCAGCCACUUAGUGUCAGGUUAAUUACAAUGGACCUCUUUUGCCCUGAAAGAGUCAGCAAUUCAUCAUGAUUGGAGUUGAUUGUAUUCAGUCAGUUACUUUAUGGAAUUGCCUUCUCUGUUUUUAGGACCUCAGCAAACAAAAGUAACUGAAGGUUUACAAAGCAAUUGAUCCUCCCAGAUAGGAUCUCAUCCAACUUUGUAGCCUGGAGGUGCAGCUCUGGGCUAGUGGUCAUGGCACCUGUUAGUCUUCUUACAUAUCACAUGACCCAGAAGCUGUAGGCCUACAAGCAAUGGAACAGCCUUGGAAGGUGCUGCUGAAUUGCUAGUUAGGAGGUGAUACCAGCGAAGAUUGGAUGGCUUCCUCCAGGAGAUGGCAAAUGCCCUAAAUCAGCGGAUGGAGGUCUGCAGUGCCCCCAGAUCAGAUGCCAGCUCAGUUUUGCUGCAAGUGCAGAUUCCAUCUGGGCAUCUUGUGGACCUAAAAGAACCCCAUUUCUGUCCCCAUGUGGGUAAGUAUGUAGCUUACAAGAGCCUUCACCCUCAACCAAUACUAUUCCUGGUCCCAGGAAGCAGGUUAUAUAUCCCUGAGUCUGUAGCAUUAGGUCUCCAAUGGGGAUUGGUAGGAGAGCUUAUAGCUGUCUUACAUUCACUCAGUGUUCACAUAAAAAUAUUGAACAACUCACUGUUUAACAGGAGGCCAAGUGUGGCCCUUAGAGGAGAUUUGAAGAAGGUGGUCUGUUUUCAAAGGCAGCCAGGGAUGGUUCGUUCUCUGAAUGGAUUAAGUUCACUUAGGUGUAAAGGAGAUUUGCUGAGUGGAGAAGGAAAGGUGGAAUAUAGAGGAUGUGGUUUACAGAGGGGCUUAGAAAAUUAGAAGAAUACAGAGAAAUGCUUUAAACAGAGUAACAACUAAAAAUAAGAUGCGAUGUAGUCAAAAGCAGAGCCUAUCCAGUUUGGAGAUACCACACUGCUGAAUGAGUGUGAUGUUUUCUUCCCCCAAGUUACAUGUCAAUGGAGCACUCGGUAAAUUUACACCUCCUUCUGGUUUCCACAUUGGGGAUCUUACUUUCUCCUUAAUAACUUUAUACUAUGAUUCUCUAUUAAGAUUUUUAUACACUAUACUAUGAUAAUUAACUAUUAUUUGAAAGCUGAAACACCUUUGAAUAUAAUGAGCUAAUCUUACAUCUCCCUGGUUUUAUACUUUUUACAGAAUUGAUCUAAGCUCUCUUUAGUAGGAACCAAAUUUUGCAUUUAAGAAACUCAUUUUUCCCAAUAAUGUCAUUAUUCAUUAAUUUCAUUAAUCCUUCAUUAAUUUAUUAAUGAAGCCAUUCAUUAAUUUCAUUAAUCAUACUCUUACUUUUAAACCAGUUCACAUUUUAUUAUAGUAUUUUCAUGUCAAGACACUUAUUGAAAUCACUCCCACAAAGAGAUUUCCUCUGAACUGGUCACAUUCAUACGCCCUGGAAAAUGGAGCCUUUUACGUACAGCAGUGGAAGUCUCUCUUUCUCUCUGAGGCAAUCACUUGAAAAUGGUCAUACAAAUAGCAGUUUAAUGGUUGCUUAAAGCACAUCUGUGGAGAUAUCAAAGGAAUUUUUGGUGCAAUAAUUCUUACAUGAAUGAAAAAUAAUGAUAGAAAGACACAGAUCUCUUUGCUUGUUUGCAACAAUACAAUGAGCAAACAAUAGUCAAAGUGGUCAUAAGAUAUGGAUUAAAGCAACAAAUAUUGUGAAAAAUAAUUUCCUCUGAUGUCUGCAUGUUGUAUUUGGAAGUAUGUGGUGGGAGAAAUGAUAAAAUGUGUAGAGGGUGUUCCUAAUAGUUAUGAAUAUGAGUUGCCAGAAAUGAUAGAAGGUAAGAGAAAAAUCUCAAAAUCUGAAUAAAUCAGGAUCCCCUAAAUAGUGGUUCACUAACUGGCUGAUACUGUAAAGGCAAAAAUAAAUAUUAUGCUCAGCUGCAUCCACUUGAUGAUAAUGUCUUUAUCAGAUUAUUUACCUAGUUUUCAGCAAGCAGUUAAAAUCAAGGGUUUCAAAGUCUGAGAGAUGAUCUGGCUACUCACCCUGAACCCCCCACCACAUACACACAUUUACCUUUUACGGAAUCUUGCCAGAGUACACAUCAUCCACAAUUUACCCGUCUGUAAAUUAAGAACAAUAUCCUUAUUUACCCCAGAGCUAAAUGAGAUCAUAUGGAGAAUACAUCAAUGGUUGGUACAGUUCACAUAAUAUUUAUAACAGUUGAUGAAAGGACUAACUGUUUUGUCAAGACAGAAAUAGGAUGCACAAUUUCAAGGAGACAAGAAAAAACACACAAAAGUGAAAAUUACUUGAUGAUAGAAAUGAAAAAAAAAAUCCUACAAGAAGAUGAAAAUCCCAGAGCUAAAGCGUUUUCUUCCAUCUGCUUAUAUAUAAGAUUGACCACAACCAAAAUAAGAAGGUGAUGUCUUAAACUAGUCUGUAAAUUCCCAUGCGGUUACAAAAUGUCACAUGACUUAAAAAAAAAUCUUUGUAACAAUUAGUCCUUUACAGACUUUGUGAGUUCAUAGGAAUAAAAUGCAUCUGAAUUACAUUAAAUACAAUUACAGUGAGAAACAAUAAAGGCAGAAUUUGAUGACUCCAAGCUUUCAAAAUAACAUAAAUGCUAUCAUAAAAGGGAUGGGCGCAUUGUUAGUUACUGAGUAGAAGAAAAAGAAGAGACUCUAAUAGGUGAGCGCCAACAGAGGCAAGAGGUCAGAAAGGAGGUUAGGGUAUCCUUUGCCCCAUCACAAAAGGGACUAAGAUGCUGUGUAAAUGGAGCAGAUACUGAAACUUUUCAUAGUUUACAGUGUUCUGUAUUUCUCCUUUUUUUCAUAUCACCCAAACACCCCACAUCUGCCCAUGCAGGUAGAUAGGUGGCUGAUUGUCUCAUCCUUUUUUAUUUUCAGUAAACCUGAUAACAUUACGGUUAACAGGCAUAAAGUAACUGGUAUCUAGAAUCACAAAAAAACACUUUGCAUGUAUCAUAAAUUACUUGAGGGCCAUAAAUAGAAGAAGAUGGGACUAAGAUAUCUGCAAAAUUCUUUAAAAUUAUAUUAGAUUUACAUUAAUCCCCCCAAAUUCUUUUGUUAAUGAAAAAUUCUAAACACAGAGAAUGGAAAUAGCAUGACAAGGGACAGAAAAGUGAAUGACUAAAGCGGGAUUUUAAAACCUUAGUCUAUCCAUUCUCUCCUAAGAUAAACACCCGCUGCAGCCCCUACUUCACUCCCAGUUCCCAAACUGUAGGGGCAGAACCUUACCUGGAGAGAGCUGAGGACUGAUUUGGCAUGUGCAUAGGCUAGUUGCAUCUUUGUUUCCAGCAAAAUUUCCAGCAGAGGUAGAUAUUAAAGGAAAGGAUGCUAGGCCUUCCUGAGUGCCUGAGCUGAUCCCAGAGCAUCAUUACCUUUCUGAUUCCCCUGGAGUGUCAUUAUCCUUCUGAUCCCAGGAGUGUGUUGGUCUGGCCCAGCAACAUAUGUCCAGAGAGCACUGUGAAUUCUAGAAGGAAGGAGUCUUCCUGGAAUGAAAAUUUGUAACUCUCUGAUCUUGGGUUACUUUCAGAGAAAGUUGAGCAUAAGCUAAUGUGGAGUGAGAUCACUAGAAUACGAGAAAUGGAGAUUUCUUAAGUUAAAGAAAUAAAGUGUCAUUAUGUUUUCCACCCUCUGUUAUCUGGCAGGACCUGUAGAUGAAGUACUAUGGUAGAUAUUCUUGUGCUGAUAAAUAUUAUAGUAAUCUUGCUCUACCUGCCUCUCCUUUUUCCCGCUACUGCUACGUUACUGAUAGACUGUAACUGAUAGACCUUCUCCUCUUCUUCCUGAUCCUCCUACAAUGUUACUCCUGUUGCCUAGUAUUUUAUAGUAAUUUUCAGCUUCCAAUAAACCUUAAGUACUUUUUUUUUCAAGGACCACAUUCUUCAAGCCUCCCUGGUCAUUGAGAUAUUUAAUAAUGUAUCAUUCUCUCUCUGUUUUUUUGGAAAGGUGAUGGCAGUAAAUUUAGUGACAACAUCCCAAACCCCAGAGGACAAGUUUUAUAGGUUUUUGUUAGUAAUGGGUUAUCCCUCUUAGAGACUGGAGGAUAUUUCAAAGGUCGGCUACUUUCUGACUCAGAGUUUUAAUUCACUCACUUGACAUAGAAAAUCAUUAAUUAACUGAUGGCAGUGUGAAAGCGGCAAACUGUUUUUCUCUAGUAAGCUUGCGGGUUACUGCAUUUUAGAUGAGAGUGACCAAAAUGCAGGAUUUCCGCCUAGAUAUUUUUCUUCUGAGUGAGGAUCAACUGUGUGACACUCUGUCUCAUGUGAUACCAUCACUAGUCUGUUUAUUUACUUAUGUACUUAUUUUUUGAUACUAAGUUGUGAGUACUUGUCCAAGUUUAGAACUUUUGGUCCAGCUUCAGUACCCAUACAAAAUCAAUUUGGUCUAUGAAGAGAAGAAAAUCCUUUCAUGUGCUAUCAGUUGUCAUCUUUCAUUGAUUUUUUUCCUUUCUUUUUUUCUUCCCAGUUUCCUCAGGAAUUUAUUCUUAAAGGCUGACAUCUUUCUUUCCUGCUCACCUCAUUAUCCCACCUUCUUUUCUCUACCCUUUGAUUCUUAUUUUGUUCUUUAUCACUCUCUUGUCUUUCAGUUCUUUCUUGUUUUCUUUCUCUCUCCCUUUUUUUUUCUUUUCUCUCUCUUUUUAUGCCUAUCUCAAUUUUCUCAAAAGGUCUCUAUCAUUUGUCUGUUCUUUUUGGAAUAUUUAAUUUUCCCCUCUCCUUUCUUCAAUAUGCACCUAUCACUGUGAAGUUCUCAUCAAAAGAAUACAAUCAUCUUUAGCCCAGAAAUAUUUUAGAGACCUUUCUCAUUUUAUUUUAUAGCCUAGUUCUUGAAAUAACUAGGAAACUAGGAAAAAAUAACUAGGAAAAAUUUUUUUCCUAUUCAGGUCCUAUAUUAAUAUAGUUUAAUCUUCUUUCUUUUUACUUGAAUUUUUCUUGCAAAGGAAUACACAUCUCUCCCUUAUAACCCAGCAGUUCUACAACUUGGUAUUUACUGAAAAGAAACAGAGAAGGCCAUAAUAAGACUUGUAGUAUAAUUUGCAGACUAGCCCUGACAACCCAAUAUCCACUGAAAAGAUAAUGAGUCUUGGGGCACCUGGGUGGCUCAGUCGGUUAAGCGGCCGACUUCGGCUCAGGUCAUGAUCUCGCGGUCCGUGAGUUCAAGCCCCGCGUCAGGCUCUGUGCUGAUGGCUCAGAGC